GAUGAACGCUGGCGGCGUGCCUAAUACAUGCAAGUCGAGCGAACAGACGAGGAGCUUGCUCCCCUGACGUUAGCGGCGGACGGGUGAGUAACACGUGGAUAACCUACCUAUAAGACUGGGAUAACUUCGGGAAACCGGAGCUAAUACCGGAUAAUAUAUUGAACCGCAUGGUUCAAUAGUGAAAGACGGUUUUGCUGUCACUUAUAGAUGGAUCCGCGCCGCAUUAGCUAGUUGGUAAGGUAACGGCUUACCAAGGCAACGAUGCGUAGCCGACCUGAGAGGGUGAUCGGCCACACUGGAACUGAGACACGGUCCAGACUCCUACGGGAGGCAGCAGUAGGGAAUCUUCCGCAAUGGGCGAAAGCCUGACGGAGCAACGCCGCGUGAGUUAUGAAGGUCUUCGGAUCGUAAAACUCUGUUAUUAGGGAAGAACAAAUGUGUAAGUAACUAUGCACGUCUUGACGGUACCUAAUCAGAAAGCCACGGCUAACUACGUG
rnacentral:rRNA from 1 species